UCUUAUUUAGUGAAGAGAGAAGUGAACGAAGAACUCCUCUCAUUCUCAUUCCCAGCAUUCGAAUUUGGGAUUCUGGUUUUGGAUUCCGAAGUUCUGCGAGAAUGGUUUCGAUUCAUUUGCUUAUUUACGGAUUAGAAUUCUCCGAUCUGCCUUGUUGACGCGUUUGAAGCAUAAACUUAGAUGCUCGCUACCUGUUCGACGAAUUGCCGCAACAGUAUCAUUGUUCUUGCAUCUCUGUAAGCUCUUAUACUCUUGAACUUACUCCAUUAAGGAUUUUUCGAUUUUCCUUUUGUUUGUUCUAUGCAUUUUUUCCGGUGAUGCUUCGGCGCGUUUUAGUUCCACUUGCUUUAUCCAAAGCUGGAAGAUUUUUGACAAGUUCAUCCAAAGCAUCAUUCACGAAAUAUGGUGUUUCGUUAAGUAGGAUUAAUGAAUGUGGGAAAAUUCAGGGGUUCCCGAAGUCGAUACUCGAUCAUAAAUGGCUUAUCAGCUCAUGUUUUCUACGUGGAUCAACAAUUGAGUAUUCAACCAUCUCUUGUUUGUGGCUUUCCAGCUCGAAUUCUAGGAAAUUUUGCAGUUUAGAGCCUUUGGGAUCGAAGAAUGUCUCUGAUGAUUGUGAGAUUGAUUCUGUCGAUACGGUCUAUAAAUUGGUGUUGGAUCACUCGAAUCCCGAAUACAAAAUGGAGAGUGCUCUUGAAACAGUCGAUGUUAAAUUGACGACGCCUCUUGUGUUAGAGGUCUUGCAUAGGCUUCGAUUCGAUGAGAAAACGGCGUUCAGGUUCUUUACUUUGGUAGGCCGUCGAGAAGACUAUCAUCACGAGGCUGAAUCGUAUAACAAAAUGAUCGACAUUCUUUCGAGUACUAAGCACAAGGUGAAACAGUUUCGAAUUGUUUGCGAUCUUCUGGAUUACAUGAAACGCCGCAACAAACGGUCUGUUCCCGUCGAUGUGCUGACGAUGAAUCUGAGACGGUACACGGAGAACCACUUGACGCAUCUUCAGAAGUUUUCGAAGAAAAAGAAGAUAAGAGUGAAGACGAAGCCAGAGAUAAAUGCGCUAAAUUUACUGCUCGAUGCUUUGUGCAAGUGCUGUCUCGUCGAGGACGCUGAGCUGAUGGUUGCUCGGGUGAAAAGCAAGAUCAAACCCGAUGCGCAGACGUAUAGUAUUCUGUUCUUCGGAUGGUGCCGAGUCCGGAAUCCGUAUCGAGGCAUGAAAGUGCUCCAGGAGAUGAUCGAUGUAGGUCACGCGCCGGAUAAUUUCACGUACAACACUGCGAUCGAUACCUUCUGCAAGUCGGGAAUGCUGAAAGAAGCGCGCGAGCUUUUGGGGUUCAUGAAAACCAAUGGGUCGACUACGUCGUCGCCGACUGCAAAAACGUACUCGAUUAUGAUGCUCGCGCUCGUCCGGAACGAUCGAAUGGAUGAAUCCCUUAAACUCUUGGAAGAAAUGAUCGGCAACGGCUGCCUCCCUGACGUAACGACAUACAAAGAAAUUGUCGAAGGUAUGGUUUCGUGCGGACACGUCGAAGCUGCGUAUGGAUUUUUAGAAGCGAUGGCGCGGACGGGGUACCCUCCCGAUAUUGUUACGUACAACUGUUUUCUCAAGGUUCUCUGCGGAAGUAAGAAUCGGGAAGAGUCAAUUAGGCUUUUCGAGAAAAUGACGGAGGCGGGGUGUGCGCCAAGCGUGCAAACCUACAACAUUUUGAUCGAAAUGUUCUUCGCGAUGGGCGAUCCCGACGGCGCGUUUGACGCUUGGGAUGAGAUGGAUCGGAGGGGAUGUGCGCGCGACACGGACACUUAUUGCGUGAUGAUCGAAGGGCUGUUCGGAUGCAAUAACGCGACGGAUGCGAUGUUUCUUCUCGAACAAGUGAUCGAUCGGGGGAUGAAAUUGCCGUAUAAGAAAUUCGAUACCUUUCUGAUGCGGCUCUCUGCCGCGGGCGAUCUUCGAGCGAUCCAAAAACUAUCGGAGCACAUGAGGAGGUUCUACAAUUCAGCUAUGGCGCGACGGUUUGCGCUAAAUCAAAAGCGUAAAAGCACGAGCCUUCGAGGGAAAUGAGAAGAUUGAAAUCUGGUGAUCGAAAAUGGUUCGAUUUUUAGUCCGUCGACUGCCAUGCAUAAUCUUUAACGAUUGCUUUUUUGUUCCUUAUGGCGAACAGAUCGAAGCAGAUGGACCUCGGAGGAGUCGGUUAGUCAUUCGAUGGAACCGGAGAGGCUGAUUGAAUCGAUCGUUUGUGUUUGAAUCUUCAUCCCGAUUGAUCGAUGCAUGUAACAGGGAAGAAGAGGGAUCGAAGAUAGGGUGGCGUGGACAAGAUCAUCGAAUGGAAUUUUCACAACGAGAGAAGGCUGUCAAGCAAUCCAAAAUAGUAAAGUACAUUGUCUGUUGGCAGAUCAUAUUUGGGUAAGUGUUGCUCCUUUCAAGUCCCGAUUGUUAUUGUAAGGAAAUCCCUAUUAGAAUGGAUUUGGUUAGAAGAGGAAUAACGAUAAAUAGGGAAGUAGAGUGUCCAAUGUGCGGAUUAGAAGAUGAAAAGAUCGAUCAUAUUUUUGUGCAAUGCAAUUUCACUACACAUUUGUAGUGGUCGAUGAUUGAACAGUUCAAUA